AACAGUCUCAACUGGAUAAAAGCAUGAUAAAUUGUCGCAAAGAUCAUUUUCCAGCCAGGUGCAUUUUAGAGCACACGGUUGGAAAGAAAGGUUUGGAAAAAGAAGUCGACAUGUUUCUCACAAUGGACCCUUGAUUUUGGACGCAAUUUUCAGUGACAGUGUCGAGAACACGAUUUGAAUACCUUUCCCAAAUUGAAUAUUCAUCAGGACAUUCCCGUGGCAGAUUGACCAAAGUAUUGUAAAAGAUAUUCUCAUCCAGCUUAAUCACACGGACAUUCCCGUGGCAGAUUGACCAAAGUAUUGUAAAAGAUAUUCUCAUCCAGCUUCAUCACACGGGCAUUUGUGAGACGUUUUGACACCACGAUUUGAAUGAAAGACAUUUCUUCUUUGGCCUUUGUUUCGUUAUAAUUUGAUUGAUUUAGAGGAUCUUUGUAUGUUUAUUGUAAAGUUGAAGGAUAAUUCAAGAUUUUGCAUCCUGCUCUCAAAUAGUUUCAGCGAUUGAUAGGACCCCUAUUUCAUAGAUUUUCAUACCCUACUUCCAAUUGGUUUUUUUACGAGGAUGUUUAUGAAACACAGGGUUCCCUCAUUGUAUUUUUACAGAGUUUGCCCCCUAUGCGUUAUAAACAUCUAUUAGAUUUUGCUUUAAAUGUGCUAUUUAACUUUGGAGGAUCCUCAACUCUAGCCAUUUAUUGUUACCAAUCUUGCAAUUGGUUUUUACGAGGAUGUUGGUGAAAUACACGCCUCCCCCAUUGUGAUAUAUUUGAGGGUUUGCCUCAAAUAUUUUGAAAACAUCAGAUUUUAGAUUUUGCUUUAGUUAUGGAUUUUAUUUUGAGGAUUCUCCACUCUAGGGUUGGCUCACCAAUAGUAACUAUUAAUUGUUGUUGUUUUCAAAAUUAGCAAACAUUUUGAUAAUUAUUAUGAUGAUGAAGUAAA